CGGCGUGCUUACACAUGCAGUCGAACGAUGAAGCCCUUCGGGGUGGAUUAGUGGCGAACGGGUGAGUAACACGUGGGCAAUCUGCCCUGCACUCUGGGACAAGCCCUGGAAACGGGGUCUAAUACCGGAUAUGACCGUCUUGGGCAUCCUUGACGGUGUAAAGCUCCGGCGGUGCAGGAUGAGCCCGCGGCCUAUCAGCUUGUUGGUGAGGUANUGGCUCACCAAGGCGACGACGGGUAGCCGGCCUGAGAGGGCGACCGGCCACACUGGGACUGAGACACGGCCCAGACUCCUACGGGAGGCAGCAGUGGGGAAUAUUGCACAAUGGGCGAAAGCCUGAUGCAGCGACGCCGCGUGAGGGAUGACGGCCUUCGGGUUGUAAACCUCUUUCAGCAGGGAAGAAGCGAGAGUGACGGUACCUGCAGAAGAAGCGCCGGCUAACUACGUGCCAGCAGCCGCGGUAAUACGUAGGGCGCAAGCGUUGUCCGGAAUUAUUGGGCGUAAAGAGCUCGUAGGCGGCUUGUCACGUCGGUUGUGAAAGCCCGGGGCUUAACCCCGGGUCUGCAGUCGAUACGGGCAGGCUAGAGUUCGGUAGGGGAGAUCGGAAUUCCUGGUGUAGCGGUGAAAUGCGCAGAUAUCAGGAGGAACACCGGUGGCGAAGGCGGAUCUCUGGGCCGAUACUGACGCUGAGGAGCGAAAGCGUGGGGAGCGAACAGGAUUAGAUACCCUGGUAGUCCACGCCGUAAACGGUGGGCACUAGGUGUGGGCAACAUUCCACGUUGUCCGUGCCGCAGCUAAC
rnacentral:rRNA from 1 species